rnacentral:lncRNA from 10 species
GUACUUGAAGAAGCGGAGCCAGGGCUGAGAUCCCGAAGGCGGGCGAGGCCGCAGUUCGGGGGCCACGCCCCGGCGUGCUCGGGUCACCGCGGGAAGCCCUUGAACCCCCUGGCGCCCGGCACCCACGUGCGGUAACCGCGGCUCCUCGAGAGCUCCAGGGAUGCGGAUCUACAGUAAGGGCUGUGGCCAGAUGAAUGAAUGCACAUUUUUUAGUGGGCAGAAAGAUGUUAGAAUUCAUGAAUUAGAAUAAGCACAAAGGAGGGCGAGAGGGGAGGCCGUGGAAGCCGCAUUCCUCCCCUUGCCUUGGGCGCCCACCCCCGAAGGGGCGCGUCCCCUCCCUGCUCCACUGCACGUGGGUGUUUAACCAGGGGAUAUCCAGUGCCUCAAGCACCACGACCCGGGAGAAAACUGAGUUGAGAAGGCCUUGGGGAUGAAGGUGAGAAAUUCGAGAAUCCCCGGAGAUAACACAUCAGCAAAUAGUGCGCAGGCAGAACAAGCUGUUGGAGGUGAGAGACACAGAGCAGAGAAGCACCCGCACCUGGAGAGUCAGGAGGGCCUCACAUCAGAACGCCUGAGCAAAUACAGUUUUGAAGGAUACUAAUUUUUUAAAAAGUUCAUUCACAUGAGUUAGACAAAGAGAAAGAAGCAGGACAUUCUAGGAAGAAGGAACGGCCCAGGCAAAAGCGACGCGUACAUUGGCGUGGGUCCAUUCAAGAAUUGUGCCCACAAUAUACCAGGCACUUGUCCAGACCUGCAUCGUCCAAUGCCCACCUCGACCUCCCAAAGUGUUGGGAUUAGAGGCGUGAGCCACCGCGCCCUGCCUGCAUGUGGCUAUUGAGAUGUGCUGUAUGAUACACACCGGACUUUGAAGACUCAGUGUGAAAAAUAAAAAGAAUUUUAAGAGGGGUGGGGGUCGAGGGGAGGCAGAGCAGUAGGACAAAUAGCUAAUGCACGCAGGGCUUAAAACCUAGACAACAGGUUGAUGGGUGCAGCAAACCACCAUGACACAUGUUUAUCUAUAUAGCACCUACAUGUUCUGCACUUGUAUCCUGGAACUUAAAAUUAGAAAAAAAAAAUAAUAAAAGCCAACAUGGCAUUCAUUACUGCCAAAAAAAUUAAAACACAUUGUUAAUUUUGUAUAUUGAUUACAGGUUGAACUGAUAAUAUUUUGAAUAUAUUGGGUUAAAGAAAUACAUUUAAAAUUAGUGGCUAGGCACAGUGGCUCAUGCCUGUAACCCCAGCACUUUGGGAGGCUGAGGCGGGUGGAUCACCUGAGGUCUGGAGUUCGAGAUGAGCCUGGCCAACAUGGUGAAACCCCAUUUCUACUAAAAAUACAAAAAUCAGCCGGGUGUGGUGGUGAGUGCCUGUAAUCCCAACUACUUGGGAGGCUGAGGCAGGAGAAUCGUUUGAACCCGGGAGGUGUAGGUUACAGUGAGCCGAGAUUGUCCCACUGCACUCCAGCCUGGGUGACAGAGUGAGACUCCAUCUUAAUAAUAAUAAUAAAACUAUUUCUUGCUGUUUUACUUUUCUAAUGUGACCACCAGAAAAGUUUAGAUGGCUUGUGUGACUCUCAUCAUUGAACGGAGCUGUUCUAAACAUGGGUAAGACAACGCAGAGCUUCGGUUGCAGGACAGAGAAUGAAAUAAUAGACCCAUAAGACAGAUAAGUGACUGAUUGUGACUGCUAGGGUGUUUACAGCAUAGGCCGGUGACAGGAACGAGGAGUGUGGGGAUGAGAGCCGACGUGGGCGAGAGUGCAUGCAAUGCAGGGUCAGACGUUGGAUUCAUCUCUCAGGAGUUGAAAAAGGUGGCGUUCCUGUUCUUUAUUGGCAUUGCUUGUGACACGAGGAUUGCCCCUCUUCCUGAAGAGGUUGGUCAGGAAAAUUUUUUGUUAACUUUUAUUUUAGGUUUGAGGGUCCAUGUGCAGGUUUGUUUCAUGAGUAAACUCAUGUCAUGGGGGAUGGGUGUACAGAUAAUUUCAUCACUGAGGAAUAAGCCUAGUACCCGAUGGGUAUUUUUUCGGAUCUUCUCCCUCCUCCCAUCCUCCACCCUCAGGUAGGCCCCGUUGCCCACCGUUCCCCUCCUAAUAUCCCUGUGUUCUCGCUGUGGAGCUCCCACUUAUAAGUGAGAACACGCGGUGUUUGGUUUUCUGUUUCUGCCUUAGCUUGCCUCCACCUCUAUCCAUAGUGCUGCAAAGGACAUGAUCUCGUUCCUUUUUUAUGGCUUCAUGGUAUUCCACGAUGUAAAUGUACCACAUUUGCUUUGUCAAGUCUACUGUGGAUGGGCAUUUAUGUUGAUUCCACAUCUUUGCUAUCAUGAAUAGUGUUGUGGUGAACAUACACCUGCAUGUGUCUUUAUGGUAGAACGAUUUAGAUUCCUCUGGGUAUAUACCCAGUCAUGGGAUUGCUGGGUUGCAUGGUAGUUCUGUUUUAAGUUCUUUGCAGAAUCACUAUGCUGCUUUCCGCAAUGGUUGAACUAAUUUGCACUCUCAAUAUUAUAUUGUCUAUAGCUGAGAAAGCUGAAAUGUAAAGAUUAAGUCACUUGUCCUCAGACAUGUAGACAGGAAGUGGUACAGCCAGGACUCAAACCUGCCUCCAGAGCCCGUCCUCCUAAACCUAAGUCAUGGUUUUCAAAGUGUGGUCCUUGGAUCAGCAGCAAAAGCACCACCUGGGCACUCAUUAGACAUGGAAAUUCUGGGCCUCAACCCGGACCUCAGCAUGGGAAUCCCUGGGGGUGGAGCCCGGCGGUUUGUGUUUGGGCAGCCCCAGCUGACUCUGAGGCACCAUCAGGUUGGAGGCCACAGUGGGUGAUAGUCCCUGCCCUGUGGUAGCAGCCGGCCUCCCUCCUUCAUUUCUGUUAUUCCAUCUCCUUCUUAAAACAACCCUGUGAGGCUGGCAGGGCAGAUGUCGAUUUUAUUUAACAGAUGAAGAAACUGACCCUUGAGGUUUUAUGACUUACCCAAAGUCAUCGCAUUAGUUUUGGAACUGAAACUUCAAUGGCAGAUCUUCUGGCUGUUAGUCUGAGACUGGAACUAGUACCCACAAGGACUCUGGGAGCAGUAAGGUCAGAGCAGGAGCUACUGCUUCAUUUCAUUGCCUCUAGUGAAGGAGGAGGGGGGUUCCCAGAGCACGGCUUCUCCAUGGGUCUAGCCCAUGAUAGCUGGGUGCUUACCCUGAUGUGCUGAUGAGAUUCUGCCUUAUCUCCUGCAAGCCAUUUGUGCUGUGCUAGGAUUAAACAGUACACUUUGGAACCUUAGCUGCCCACACCCUGAGAGCCAAUCACGCAGAACCCACAGGAAAUCUCGGGGCAGAAGUAGUUUGCCAUAAAUGUCCAUUUUCUCAUUUUUUGUUGUUGUGACGGGGUCUUGCUCUGUCGCCGAGGCUGGAGUGCAUUGGCGCAAUCAUAGCGCACUGCAGCCUCAACCUCCUGGGCUCAAGUCAUCUUUCCACCUCAACCUCCAAAAUAGCUGGUAUUACAGGUGUGCGCCUCCUGUAUAAUUAAAAAAAAAACAUGUUUUGAGGCCGGGUGUGGCGGCUCAUGCCUGUAAUCCCAGCACUUUGGGAGGCCAAGGCGGGUGGAUCAUGAGGUCAAGAGAUUGAGAUCAUCCUGGCCAACAUGGUGAACCCCCGUCUCUACUAAAAAUACAAAAAAUUAGCCGGGCGUGGUGGCAGGCACUUUUAAUCCCAGCUACUUGGGAGGGUGAGGCAGGAGAAUCGCUUGAACCUGGGAGGUGUAGCUUGCAGUGAGCUGAGAUCACACCACUGCACUCCAGCCUGGGCAAAAAGAGUGAAACUCUGUCUCAAAAAAAAAAAUGUUUUGAGGUUACAGGGAGCUAUGAUCACACUACUGCACUCCAGUCUAGAUAACAGAGCGAGACCCUGUCUCUGAAAAAAAAGAAAAAAAAUUCUUUGUAGAGACAAGGUUUCACUAUAUUGCUCAGGCUGGAAUCAAACUCCUGGCCUCAAGCAAUCCUCCUGUAUUGACCUCUCAAAGGGCUGGGAUUACAGGCGGGAGCCACUGUGCUCAGCCUGCAUUUCCUGAUGCAACUCGUUCACAUUCCAUCCAUUAUCAACAAUCCCCACAACUUCACCUCCUGCCAUGGAUGCCUGAGGCUGGGGAAGGGGAACUUCAUUCGGGUGUGGGCGUCACCUUAGCCACAGAGAACCUAAAAGAGUGAUCAAGCCUCACCUGAGGUUGGGAGUUCGAGACCAGCCUGACCAACAUGGGGAAACCCCAUCUCUACUAAAAAUACAAAAUUAGCCAGGUGUGGUGGCGUGUGCCUGUAAUCCCAGCUACACGGGAGGCUGAGGCAGGAGAAUCGCUUGAACCCGGGAGGCGGAGGUUGUGGUGAGCCGAGAUCGCGCCGUUGCACUCCAGCCUGGGCAACGAGAGUGAAACUCCGUCUCGAAAAAAAAAAAAAAAGACUGAUCAAGCCGACUGAAAGUCAGGGUGCUCUGUUAUUAUAACUGAGCACCGGGAAUUCUAAACACUGUCAGUGAUAAAUACUCUUCCCAGAAAAAAAACUUUCUUGUAAUUAUAUGUGUAUAAUUCCAUUUUUAUCCCUAAUCUUUUAACAAACAUGUCUUACAUGGGAGUUAAUCCCAAGGGCUCCCAGCUAUGCACUUGGUUCCAACACGUCUUCGUUCAGCCACAAGAAGUUUAUUUGGUUCAGAAGCAGAGUGCUAGCUUCAGGCACAGUUUGAUCCAGCUGAUGGGCACUGCAACCUCCUGCAUGUAAACAGCAGGUUUGAAGUGAACCGUGGUAGCACUAUGACUAUAAAGACAAACGAGGAGAACUUGCUUUACUUCACUUCAUUCCAUGUGAUCACUUGUGCUUAAAAUUUGAAUCAGUGAAACAGGGCGGUGGGAACCGCAAGCUGAAAUAUUUUUGUUAUAGUGUGGAUUUUAGCUCAUAUAUUACACAUUUUACUGAAUUCAAAUAAUGUCUUUAAAAUUGAAAUUUAGCCAGGAGUGGUGGCUCACGCCUGUAAUCCCAGCACUUUGGGAGGCCGAGGCGGGAUUUCGAGACCAGCCUGGCCAAUAUGGUGAAAACCUGUCUCUGCUAACAAUACAAAAAUUAGCUGGGCGUGGUGGCACGGGCGUGUAGUCCCAGCUACUCAGGAGGCUGAGGCAGAAGAAUCGCUAGAACCCGGGGAGCCGAGAUUGGGCCACUGCACUCCAGCCUGGGCGACAGAAUAAGACUCUGUCUCAAAAAAAUAUUAAAUAAAUAAAUAAAUAAAAUACAAUUGAAAUUUAUUUUUUUUGGCCAGGUACGUUGGCUCAUGCUUUGGGAGGUCAACGGAGGAGGAUUACUCGAGGCCAGGAGUUUGAGACCAGCCUGGGCAACAUAGUGAGAUCCUGUCUCUACAAAAAAAUUUAAAAAUUAGCCAAGCGUGCCUGUGGU